UUAAUUGAAGCCAAAAAGAGGCAUAUUAUUGUUAAUAAUAUAAUUGAAAAAAAUAUUCCAAUUAAA
rnacentral:tRNA from 1 species